UACGUAGGGGCUAGCGUUUGUCCGGAAUCAUUGGGCGUAAAGCGCGCGUAGGCGGCCCGGUAAGUCCGCUGUAAAAGUCAAAGGCUCAACCUUUUGAAUGUCAGUGGAUACUGCCGGCUAGAGUCCGGAAGAGGCGAGUGGAACUCCUGGUGUAGCGGUGGAAUGCGCAGAUAUCAGGAAGAACACCGACGGCGAAGGCAGCUCGCUGGGACGGUACUGACGCUGAGGCGCGAAAGCGUGGGGGGGAGCGAACAGG
rnacentral:rRNA from 1 species